rnacentral:lncRNA from 1 species
UGUUUGUGUGCACUGCGUUGGUUUGAGCCUGCCACACUGUUACCAUUGGCUGAGGGUUCGGGGGCUGAACAGUGGUCAUGCUCCAGCGCCAUGGGCAUGGGCACAUCAUCUGCAACGUCCUCAAUAUCCUCUGCCUAGGAUGGUCGCUAUCUCCUAUGACAUACUGCAGGACGUAAUGCUUGGAUGGAGUAGCCCUUCCACUGGAAGAGGCCAGGCAGAGCUCCCUUCUUUAAUAAUCUGCGCCAAGUGCUGGUCAAAGGCUCGAUCAAGUCCUCAGCUUGGAAAUAACAGCUGCAGACCCAGCACCAUGAGCUGCGGCUUCAAGUUUCAGCACCAGGUCAAUAACUCUG